rnacentral:misc_RNA from 1 species
GAUGAAGAACGCAGCGAAAUGCGAUACUUGGUGUGAAUUGCAGAAUCCCGUGAACCAUCGAGUCUUUGAACGCAAGUUGCGCCAGAAGCCAUUAGGCCGAGGGCACGCCUGCCUGGGCGUCACACGCCGUUGCCCCCCCAUCUACUCCUUCGGGAUUGCGGGGGGGCGGAUGAUGGCCUCCCGUGCGCCUAGCCGCGCGGUUGGCAUAAAUACCAAGUCCUCGGCGACGCACGCCACGACAAUCGGUGGUUGCGAAACCUCGGUUGCCCGUCGUGUGCGUUCGUCGCGCAUCGAGGGCUCGAAAAAAUGCUCGGCUCCGGCUGGGCUUUCAACGCGACCCCAGGUCAGGCGGGGUUACCCGCUGAAUUUAAGCAUAUCAAUAAGCGGAGGA